rnacentral:lncRNA from 7 species
GAGAACUCUGAAAUAGAAAAGAAGAAUAAAAGACAAACAUACUCUCGGGCCCAAAUCUCCCCUCAGCCCAUUCCAACCUCCGCGCCUACUAGCCCAGUUUAAUUUCCACCGGAGGCCCACGCGCGCGUGUCACGAUGCGGCUCUGGAAGAUCAGGCCCGCGUGGCAUACUCUCUGCCUGGGUGCUCGGGGUUCUAUGGGCGCUGUCUGGUGGGGUCUGCUCAUCAGAUCUAUCCGCAUCCUCCUUCCCUCAUAGAACUCUCAACAGUGCCAUAAUGAAUCGACUGGGUUUGGUGCAUGCUGCCGGAUCUGUGGGGGGUUGUUGCGAAUCGGUCUCCAGCCUUGCUCGGGUAUAAAACCAUGACACCGCCUCCCAUCUCCUCCAGGCCGCGCCAGGGACCGCCAUUGACUGCAAGAGAGGGAGAGCAGUGUGGGAGGAAGAGGCCCGUCGCACCCUUAACUUGCCGACGCUGCCCUUCUGCACCAGUGGGGUGGUUCUGGGGCAUCACAAGCACGUGGGGGAUCUUCGCCGGGUUCGUGCGCAGCUCAGGGUGGCCGGUGAUAAGGCAAUUUUUUGCCAGAGUUAUACACCCGUCGUGAGCGAGCCUUGUUCCAUGGUCGAGCCCCCGUCGCCGUUCAAUCCUCUGGUAAGUCACCGGGAUGCUAUCCCUCUAUGCAUCCGCUCUGUGUUACAUCUAUCGGCACAAAGAACCAGCCACUAGAUUGCGGGAUGGAGGUGAUUGCAGCAAUGGAGCCGCCGCGGUGGGAGGCUCACCUCCGUCGCCGGCGUCCCGUUGGGUGUGGUCACCACAGGCCAUUGGAUGAAUUGUGGGCGCCUUA